AGAGUUUGAUCCUGGCUCAGAUUGAACGCUGGCGGCAUGCCUAACACAUGCAAGUCGCACGCGAAAGGGGGCAACCCCGAGUAGAGUGGCGGACGGGUGCGUAAUACGCAGGAAUCUACCCACGAGUGGGGGACAACCCGGGGAAACCCGGGCUAAUACCGCAUGAGACCUACGGGUGAAAGCGGGGGAUCGCAAGACCUCGCGCUGGUGGAUGAGCCUGCGUCCGAUUAGCUAGUUGGUAGGGUAAAAGCCUACCAAGGCAACGAUCGGUAGCUGGUCUGAGAGGACGACCAGCCACACUGGGACUGAGACACGGCCCAGACUCCUACGGGAGGCAGCAGUGGGGAAUAUUGGACAAUGGGGGCAACCCUGAUCCAGCAAUGCCGCGUGUGUGAAGAAGGCCUUCGGGUUGUAAAGCACUUUCGAUGGGGACAAACGUGUCGGGCUUAAUACGUCCGGCCUUGAUGGUACCCAGAGAAGAAGCACCGGCUAACUCUGUGCCAGCAGCCGCGGUAAUACAGAGGGUGCAAGCGUUAAUCGGAAUUACUGGGCGUAAAGCGUGCGUAGGUGGUUGGAUAAGUCAGGUGUGAAAUCCCCGAGCUUAACUUGGGAAUUGCGCUUGAUACUGUCCGGCUAGAGUGUGGUAGAGGGUAGUGGAAUUCCGCAUGUAGCGGUGAAAUGCGUAGAUAUGCGGAGGAACAUCAGUGGCGAAGGCGGCUACCUGGACCAACACUGACACUGAGGCACGAAAGCGUGGGUAGCAAACAGGAUUAGAUACCCUGGUAGUCG
rnacentral:rRNA from 1 species